UACGAAGGGGGGCUAGCGUUGCUCGGAAUCACUGGGCGUAAAGGGUGCGUAGGCGGGUUUUUAAGUCAGGGGUGAAAUCCUGGAGCUCAACUCCAGAACUGCCUUUGAUACUGAAGAUCUUGAGUUCGGGGAGAGGUGAGUGGAACUGCGAGUGUAGAGGUGAAAUUCGUAGAUAUUCGCAAGAACACCAGUGGCGAAGGCGGCUCACUGGCCCGGAACUGACGCUGAGGCGCGAAAGCUAGGGGAGCAAACAGG
rnacentral:rRNA from 1 species